GAUGAACGCUAGCUACAGGCUUAACACAUGCAAGUCGAGGGGAAACGGCAUUGAGUGCUUGCACUCUUUGGACGUCGACCGGCGCACGGGUGAGUAACGCGUAUCCAACCUUCCCAUUACUGUGGGAUAACCUGCCGAAAGGCAGACUAAUACCGCAUAGUCUUCGAUGACGGCAUCAGAUUUGAAGUAAAGAUUUAUCGGUAAUGGAUGGGGAUGCGUCUGAUUAGCUUGUUGGCGGGGUAACGGCCCACCAAGGCGACGAUCAGUAGGGGUUCUGAGAGGAAGGUCCCCCACAUUGGAACUGAGACACGGUCCAAACUCCUACGGGAGGCAGCAGUGAGGAAUAUUGGUCAAUGGACGGAAGUCUGAACCAGCCAAGUAGCGUGCAGGAUGACGGCCCUAUGGGUUGUAAACUGCUUUUGUAUGGGGAGAAAGUUAGGGACGUGUCCCUAUUUGCAGGUACCAUACGAAUAAGGACCGGCUAAUUCCGUG
rnacentral:rRNA from 1 species